rnacentral:lncRNA from 1 species
CUGUAAUAGAAUACCUGAGAAUGGGUAAUUUAUAAAGAAAAAAAGGUUUAUUGGGUCCAUGGUUAUGAAGGCUGUAAAGUACAAAAUUGGAUGACCACAUCUGGUGAGGGCCAUGUGUGGCUGGAAAAGAGAAUAGCCUACUCUCAAAAUAAUCCAGUCCUGUGCCCGUGAAAGGUCAGUCAGAGAAAAAGCAUUAAUCUCUUUGUGAUGGCGCUUCCCCCAUGACCUAAACACCUCCCUUGAGGCUCCGCCUCUUAGCUCAGCUGCCGUGGUAACCACACUCCAACAUGAGUGUCCCAGCUGACAAACCACAGUCCAAUCAUAGGACCUUCAUUUUCUAACACUACUGUAGGCAGCCUGAACUCUCAAGGUUAUGUGGUCAGUCCUGGGACAGAGGCAGGUGUGAGCCCAGGCAAUCUGACUCCAGCACCUCGGCUUUGGGCCUCACACUGAGGCAGUAAAGAGGGACUCUCGGAGCCAAACUUCUCUCUUACUUGCUGUGAAAUCAUGGCUUAGAUCAAGCAGAUUGGGGACAAAUGCUACAUAAAGGAUGUCUUCUCAGUGGCCCACACCAAGAGGAAUCGCAAACAGGAUGCCAACAGGGGAAUGAGUUCAGGCCUUGGAGUCAGACAGAGUUGCCUUCACAUUCUACCUUGCCACCUAUUGGCCUUGGGACCUGGGCCAUCCCCAGCCUCCAAGAUCUCUGUGGACUGGACCGAGAUGAUACCUUCCUUCUGGGGGACUUGUGGAAAUUGAAAGAGAUGCUU